rnacentral:rRNA from 1 species
GAAAGUUGUCUAUGGCCAUAUGCGCCCGAUCUCAUCUGAUCUCAGAAGCUAAACAGGGUCGGGCCUGGUUAGUACUUGGAUGGGAGAAGUGGUGAAAGUGGGCAUUCCUGUCU